rnacentral:lncRNA from 1 species
CCAAAUCCAGCCGAUUUGGGCCGCCGUCCAUGUAUUCACGACCGAUGACCAGCGUCGUGCGAGAGUAUUUUCGAUCAACGUGUUGAAGCACGUUCAAAGGCCAAAGUUUUAGAUCGGGGAAACGAGGAGAAAAAUGAAGGGUUCUUGGCCCUUCCCUAAACUCACAUCCGACAACGGCGAAGGGCCGUUAAUGGCGGAUCUCCGAGCCAAUUCAAGUAACUUUCCUUUUACUUUUUUUUAAAAGGGUUUGUAAAAAAUAAAUAAAUAAAAUAAGUAAAUAAAUAAAAACAGGAAGCAAUAACAGCAACCUUUUGUUUUUCCUUUUUUGAUUUCCAAUUCGUAAUCCUCCCCCGUUACAUUGAUAUUGUGGCUUUUAUAGCCAGAUGUUUUACAUUUUUUUCUUUUCUCUUUUCUUCUUGCCUUGUUGUUAUUUCUUCUUUUGCAGGUAUUCCUUUCGGCUUUCUUUUGCAGAUGCUGCGGUCAACAGAGGCAAAGACUUGCCGUUUUGGUGCAUGGCUGGCUGGUGGUGGCAGACCUCGUGCGUAGUGCGCGCUGAAGGCGCACAUGGGGUAGCAGCGGCGCGAGGCAAGGUAGGGAACCCUAGGGUUCCCUGAUGCUGUUUAAUUUUGGGCCCCAUUGGGCCAGUUAGGGUUUUUAAAAAUGGGCCAUUUCAACCCAAUGUACAUAGA